CUGAGCUUACUGUGUUCAUUAUUAUAAGAUUUCUGGAUUUAAUCAAACAUUUUUGUUUUAAUAUCGAGAUUAAUUUUCGUUGAAAUUUGAACUUAAACCUCUCGCGAAUAAAAAAAAAAUGACUAAAUCAUCACGUUCAAUUUUUUUGUUUGUUCAUAUCACCUAUUGUUGUACGUGAUAUAUGCAAUAAAUUUAUUUUCGGUUAGUUUGUUUCUGAUGACUGUUCGUCAAAGUCAAUUGUCACGCGUUU